rnacentral:rRNA from 1 species
GACGAACGCUGGCGGCGUGCUUAACACAUGCAAGUCGAACGAUGAGGCCUUCGGGUGGAUUAGUGGCGAACGGGUGAGUAACACGGGGGUGAUCUGCCCUGCACUUUGGGAUAAGCCUGGGAAACUGGGUCUAAUACCGAAUAUGAUCAUGCGCUUCCUGGGGUGUGGUGGAAAGCUUUUGCGGUGUGGGAUGGGCCCGCGGCCUAUCAGCUUGUUGGUGGGGUAAUGGCCUACCAAGGCGACGACGGGUAGCCGGCCUGAGAGGGUGACCGGCCACACUGGGACUGAGAUACGGCCCAGACUCCUACGGGAGGCAGCAGUGGGGGAUAUUGCACAAUGGGCGCAAGCCUGAUGCAGCGACGCCGCGUGAGGGAUGACGGCCUUCGGGUUGUAAACCUCUUUCAGCAGGGACGAAGCGAAAGUGACGGUACCUGCAGAAGAAGGACCGGCCAACUACGUGCCAGCCGCCGCUGUAACAC